UACGGAGGGGGCUAGCGUUGUUCGGAAUUACUGGGCGUAAAGCGCACGUAGGCGGCUUUGUAAGUUAGAGGUGAAAGCCCGGGGCUCAACUCCGGAAUUGCCUUUAAGACUGCAUCGCUAGAAUUGUGGAGAGGUGAGUGGAAUUCCGAGUGUAGAGGUGAAAUUCGUAGAUAUUCGGAAGAACACCAGUGGCGAAGGCGACUCACUGGACAAAUAUUGACGCUGAGGUGCGAAAGCGUGGGGAGCAAACAGG
rnacentral:rRNA from 1 species